rnacentral:lncRNA from 1 species
CCCUUACAAAGAUGCCUUGAGUAUUUUCCUGCCAUUUGAAAUAUUAAUUUACCAAUGAGAACACGAUAUAUUUUAUUUUCAACCUCGUAAUCCUAAUUAAGGUCACUAACAACAUAUACUCCUUUAUAUAAAUUAUUUUAACACCAAAACUCCAAAUAUUUAACAUUUAAUUUGGUUUCAAUACUAGAAAUCCAAGAAAAUUAGAUGAUUGACAAAACUAGCACUAUAACUCCAAAAUAUUGAAAACUAGUACCAAUGUCUAUAUAUUAAAUUCUGUCACCAAAAAUAUUGACAAAACUAGCACUUUUCGGGGCUGGAUUUCAAAAGCAGCACCUAUGUAGGAUUUGUCCAAAAAUUGCUUAUAAUUAUUGCUUAAAAAUGGAGAAAUCAACCCCAUUUCCAUAAUCUAAGUGUUUAACAUCAUAUAAUCCAAAGAAAAUCAAAGAAUAAACAUCUAUUUCAUAAACCCAUUUUCAAAGUUUCCCUCCUUUUCUUUUCUUUCUUUUAUUUUUUCAACACCAAUCUUUCAAUACAUAUUACUUUAACAUAUUCAUGUUUACUACCCCCAAACAAAUGUCAAUAACCUCUAAUUCUAGCUAACUUUGAAUAUAACCAAAAUUUCCAUAAACCCUAAAAGCAAACUUAACUCAAUAUACUUACACUUACCUCUCAAAAUCAAAUGAGAAAUUGUAGAAAUGGAGCACCCAAGAAUUGAAAACCCACUUCUUCUUUUCCUUUUCCUUUUCUUCUUCUCUUUUUGCUUCAUAUUUUUUUUCCUUCCAUGUUCCUCGAUUCUUCUCGGUUUCUCCCAAGGAAAUGAAAGAAAAUGGGUCUUACUUCCAUUUAACAAUUGGACAAAAUGAAAUUAUCAAUAAUUAAGCCCUCAACUUUGCCAUAGUUUGCAAUUAAACCCUUAUGUUUCCAUUUAAUUUAAAACUCACCAUUUUGUUCUUAUACUCACAAAUUAGC